rnacentral:rRNA from 1 species
UGACCUCUGGUCUACCUGCUGUCGCGCCAGCGGCACCGCAGGGUAGCUAUGUCGGGUUUUGAUAACCGCUGAAAGCAUCUAAGCGGGAAGCUUGCUCCAAGAUUAGGAAUCGUUAUGAGACUCCUGGAAGAUGACCAGGUUGAUAGGCUUUAGGUGUACGCACAGUAAUGUGUUUAGCCGAGAAGUACUAAUAUGUCCAGUCUCUUG